rnacentral:rRNA from 1 species
AUUGAACGCUGGCGGCAGGCUUAACACAUGCAAGUCGAGCGGGGUGAUGGUGCUUGCACUAUCACUUAGCGGCGGACGGGUGAGUAAUGCUUAGGAGUCUGCCUAUUAGUGGGGGACAACAUCUCGAAAGGGAUGCUAAUACCGCAUACGUCCUACGGGAGAAAGCAAGGGAUCACUUGUGACCGUGCGGCAAUAGAUGAGCCUAAGGCGGAUUAGCUAGUUGGGGGGGUAAAGGCCUACCAAGGCGACGAUCUGUAGCGGGUCUGAGAGGAUGAUCCGCCACACUGGGACUGAGACACGGCCCAGACUCCUACGGGAGGCAGCAGUGGGGAAUAUUGGACAAUGGGGGGAACCCUGAUCCAGCCAUGCCGCGUGUGUGAAGAAGGCCUUAUGGUUGUAAAGCACUUUAAGCGAGGAGGAGGCUCUUUUGGUUAAUACCCAAGAUGAGUGGACGUUACUCGCAGAAUAAGCACCGGCUAACUCUGUGCCAGCCGCCGCGGUAAUAC